UGGGGAAUAUUGCACAAUGGGCGAAAGCCUGAUGCAGCAACGCCGCGUGAGCGAUGAAGGCCUUCGGGUCGUAAAGCUCUGUCCUCAAGGAAGAUAAUGACGGUACUUGAGGAGGAAGCCCCGGCUAACUACGUGCCAGCAGCCGCGGUAAUACGUAGGGGGCUAGCGUUAUCCGGAAUUACUGGGCGUAAAGGGUGCGUAGGCGGUCUUUCAAGCCAGAAGUGAAAGGCUACGGCUCAACCGUAGUAAGCUUUUGGAACUGUAAGACUUGAGUGCAGGAGAGGAGAGUGGAAUUCCUAGUGUAGCGGUGAAAUGCGUAGAUAUUAGGAGGAACACCAGUAGCGAAGGCGGCUCUCUGGACUGUAACUGACGCUGAGGCACGAAAGCGUGGGGAGCAAACAGGAUUAGAUACCCUGGUAGUCCACGCCGUAAACGAUGAGUACUAGGUGUCGGGGGUUACCCCCCUCGGUGCCGCAGCUAACGCAUUAAGUACUCCGCCUGGGAAGUACGCUCGCAAGAGUG
rnacentral:rRNA from 1 species